rnacentral:rRNA from 1 species
CUUUAUCUAUGUGAAAGCCUUCGGCUCACCGAAGAAGUGCAUUGGAAACUGGGAGACUUGAGUGCAGAAGAGGACAGUGGAACUCCAUGUGUAGCGGUGAAAUGCGUAGAUAUAUGGAAGAACACCAGUGGCGAAGGCGGCUGUCUGGUCUGCAACUGACGCUGAGGCUCGAAAGCAUGGGUAGCGAACAGGAUUAGAUACCCUGGUAGUCCAUGCCGUAAACGAUGAAUGCUAAGUGUUGGAGGGUUUCCGCCCUUCAGUGCUGCAGCUAACGCAUUAAGCAUUCCGCCUGGGGAGUACGACCGCAAGGUUGAAACUCAAAAGAAUUGACGGGGGCCCGCACAAGCGGUGGAGCAUGUGGUUUAAUUCGAAGCUACGCGAAGAACCUUACCAGGUCUUGACAUCUUCUGACAGUCUAAGAGAUUAGAGGUUCCCUUCGGGGACAGAAUGACAGGUGGUGCAUGGUUGUCGUCAGCUCGUGUCGUGAGAUGUUGGGUUAAGUCCCGCAACGAGCGCAACCCUUAUUACUAGUUGCCAGCAUUUAGUUGGGCACUCUAGUGAGACUGCCGGUGACAAACCGGAGGAAGGUGGGGACGACGUCAAAUCAUCAUGCCCCUUAUGCCUGGG